AUCGCUUCUCGGCCUUUUGGCUUGGAAUGUGUGUAGUUUCUGUUCUUAUCGGUUUGGUCGCUGGUGUCUCCCGAAGGUGGGAGUGUUUGUACUGGGUGGAUUUUUGGAGCUUAAGGGCUUGCAAAAAAAUAAAAAAUAAAAAAAAAAUAAACAGGAGUGUCUCAGGGAGUGGAGUGCAUUAUUUCCCCCUCCAACUCUAU